rnacentral:rRNA from 1 species
GACGAACGCUGGCGGCGUGCUUAACACAUGCAAGUCGAACGAAGUCGCGAACGGGUGAGUAACGCGUAAUCAACCUGCCCUUCAGAGGGGGACAACAGUUGGAAACGACUGCUAAUCCCGCAUACUGAAGGAGGGGAUUGCGUCUGAUUAGCCAGUUGUAGGGGUAACGGCCCACCAAGGCGAGGAUCAGUAGCCGAUCUGAGAGGAUGAACGGCCACAUUGGGACUGAGACACGGCCCAGACUCCUACGGGAGGCAGCAGUGGGGAAUCUUCCGCAAUGGACGAAAGUCUGACGGAGCAACGCCGCGUGAGUGAUGACGGCCUUCGGGUUGUAAAGCUCUGUUAAUCGGGACGCGGUACCGAAAUAGAAAGCCACGGCUAACUACGUGCCAGCAGCCGCGGUAAUUC